UGCAGUCGAACGGCAGCAUGGGUGCUUGCACCUGAUGGCGAGUGGCGAACGGGUGAGUAACAUAUCGGAACAUAUCCGGAAGUGGGGGAUAACGUAGCGAAAGUUACGCUAAUACCGCAUAUGCCCUGAGGGGGAAAGGAGGGGAUCGUAAGACCUUUCGCUUUCGGAGUGGCCGAUAUCAGAUUAGCUUGUUGGUGAGGUAAAGGCUCACCAAGGCGACGAUCUGUAGCUGGUCUGAGAGGACGACCAGCCACACUGGGACUGAGACACGGCCCAGACUCCUACGGGAGGCAGCAGUGGGGAAUUUUGGACAAUGGGCGCAAGCCUGAUCCAGCCAUGCCGCGUGAGUGAAGAAGGCCUUCGGGUUGUAAAGCUCUUUCAGCCGGAAAGAAAUCGCGCCAACUAAUACUUGGUGUGGAUGACGGUACCGGAAGAAGAAGCACCGGCUAACUACGUGCCAGA
rnacentral:rRNA from 1 species